rnacentral:ncRNA from 1 species
AGCGAUACUGACGUGCAAAUCGUUCGUCUGACUUGGGUAUAGGGGCGAAAGACUAAUCGAACCAUCUAGUAGCUGGUUCCCUCCUCAGUUUCCCUCAGGAUAGCUGGAGCCCAUUACGAGUUCUAUCAGGUAAAGCCAAUGAUUAGAGGCAUUGGGGACGCAACGUCCUCGACCUAUUCUCAAACUUUAAAUAGGUAGGAUGGCUCGGCUG